GAUGAAGAACGCAGCGAAAUGCGAUAAGUAAUGUGAAUUGCAGAAUUCAGUGAAUCAUCGAAUCUUUGAACGCACAUUGCGCCCUUUGGUAUUCCAAAGGGCAUGCCUGUUCGAGCGUCAUUUGUACCCUCAAGCUUUGCUUGGUGUUGGGCGUCUUUUGUCUCCAGUUCGCUGGAGACUCGCCUUAAAGUCAUUGGCAGCCGGCCUACUGGUUUCGGAGCGCAGCACAAGUCGCGCUCUUAGCCAGCCAAGGUCAGCGUCCACCAAGCCUUUUUUCAACCUUUGACCUCGGAUCAGGUAGGGAUACCCGCUGAACUUAAGCAUAUCAAUAAGCGGAGGA
rnacentral:misc_RNA from 1 species